rnacentral:rRNA from 1 species
CAUUAUCGUAUAAACUUGAACAGGGCUGUUGCUGGCCCUCAACUGAGGGUGUUGUGCACGCCUUGUCUCAUCUUUAUUUCUCCAACUUGUGCACAUUUUGUAGAUCCCUGGGAUGCCUUUUUAUGAAUUAUGGUUCGAGUUGGGACUGCUGUUGCUUUGCUCUUUGAAAGAGGCCAGCUUUUCCUUUGCAUCUCCAGGGUCUAUGUCAAUCCUUCACAACCCCUAGAAUGUGUUUAGAAUGUUGAUAAAAAAAAGUGAAAUAUAAUACAACUUUCAGCAACGGAUCUCUUGGCUCUCGCAUCGAUGAAGAACGCAGCGAAAUGCGAUAAGUAAUGUGAAUUGCAGAAUUCAGUGAGUCAUCGAAUCUUUGAACGCAUCUUGCGCUCCUUGGUAUUCCGAGGAGCAUGCCUGUUUGAGUGUCAUUUAACUUAUCAACCACUUCAGAUUCUGGGUGUGGCUUGGAUGUGGGGGAAUAUCUUUGCAGGCCUUUUUUUGCAAAAGAAGGGUCAGCUCCUCUGAAAUGUAUUAGUGGCAUCUGAGCUGCUACUGUAGGUGUGAUAACUAUCUAUGCCUUUGGUAUGCUGCAUGAGACAGAUUGUGCUGCUUAAAACUUGGAAAAAAACCUUUGACAAACUUGACCUCAAAUCAGGUAGGACUACCC